rnacentral:rRNA from 1 species
AACGAACGCUGGCGGCAUGCCUAACACAUGCAAGUCGAACGAGACCUUCGGGUCUAGUGGCGCACGGGUGCGUAACGCGUGGGAACCUGCCCUUAGGUUCGGAAUAACUCCCCGAAAGGGGUGCUAAUACCGGAUAAUGUCUUCGGACCAAAGAUUUAUCGCCUUUGGAUGGGCCCGCGUUGGAUUAGCUAGUUGGUAGGGUAAAAGCCUACCAAGGCGACGAUCCAUAGCUGGUCUGAGAGGAUGAUCAGCCACACUGGGACUGAGACACAGCCCAGACUCCUACGGGAGGCAGCAGUGGGGAAUAUUGGACAAUGGGCGAAAGCCUGAUCCAGCAAUGCCGCGUGAGUGAUGAAGGCCUUAGGGUUGUAAAGCUCUUUACCCGGGAUGAUAAUGACAGUACCGGGAGAAUAAGCUCCGGCUAACUCCGUG